ACCAGUUGUGCCGCCAGGCGCAUCGCUGGGUAGCUAUGAACGGAAGGGAUAAACGCUGAAAGCAUCUAAGUGUGAAGCCCCCCUCGAGAUGAGAUUUCCCAUUCCUAUAUGGAAGUAAGACCCCUGAAAGAUGAUCAGGUAGAUAGGCUGGAAGUGGAAGUGCAGCGAUGCAUGGAGCGGACCAGUACUAAUCGGUCGAGGACUUAACCAAG
rnacentral:rRNA from 2 species